rnacentral:rRNA from 1 species
GUGGGGAAUCUUCCGCAAUGGACGAAAGUCUGACGGAGCAACGCCGCGUGAGUGAUGAAGGUCUUCGGAUUGUAAAGCUCUGUUAAUCGGGACGAAAGAGCCUAGUGUGAAUAAUGCUAGGAAGGGACGGUACCGGAAUAGAAAGCCACUGCUAACUACGUGCCAGCAGCCGCGGUAAUACGUAGGUGGCAAGCGUUGUCCGGAAUUAUUGGGCGUAAAGCGCGCGCAGGCGGAUCUGCCAGUAUGUCUUAAAAGUUCGGGGCUUAACCCCGUGAUGGGAUGGAAACUACAGAUCUAGAGUAUCGGAGAGGAAAGUGGAAUUCCUAGUGUAGCGGUGAAAUUCGUAGAUAUUAGGAAGAACACCAGUGGCGAAGGCGACUUUCUGGACGAAAACUGACGCUGAGGCGCGAAAGCCAGGGGAGCGAACGGGAUUAGAUACCCCUGUAGUCC